rnacentral:ribozyme from 13 species
AAUUUGAAAAAGUUUUCAUUUCUUGUUUUUUGUUAUUUGCUUUCUUUUCUUUUCUUUGUUUGUUUGUUUUUCUUUCCUUCAAUUGCUCCCCAAGAGAGAAGUAAAGUGACAAUGAUGUGGUGUUAAUGGAGAAUAAAUAAAAUUGAAAGAG